rnacentral:rRNA from 1 species
CUACAGGUGGGUGAGGAGAGUAUCCUAAGGCCAGCGAGAGAACUAUUGUUAAGGAACUCGGCAAAAUGACCCCGUAACUUAGGGAGAAGGGGUGCCUGUCUAUGACAGGCCGCAGAGAAUAGGCCCAAGCGACUGUUUACCAAAAACACAGGUUUCUGCUAAGUCGCAAGACGAUGUAUAGGAGCUGACGCCUGCCCGGUGCUGGAAGGUUAAGGGGAUCUGUUAGAGCAAUCGAAGCAGUGAACUUAAGCCCCAGUAAACGGCGGCCGUAACAAUAACGGUCCUAAGGUAGCGAAAUUCCUUGUCGGGUAAGUUCCGACCCGCACGAAAGGCGUAACGAUUUGGGCACUGUCUCAACAAUAGACUCGGUGAAAUUGUAAUCCCGGUGAAGAUGUCGGGUACCUGCGACAGGACGGAAAGACCCCAUGGAGCUUUACUGUAGCUUGACGUUGGGUCUUGGUACUACAUGUACAGGAUAGGUGGGAGACUAUGAAGCAUGGACGCCAGUCUGUGUGGAGUCAUCCUUGGGAUACCACCCUUGUAGUACUGGGAUCCUAACCAUAGGCCUUGAAUCAGGUCUUGGAACACCGUCAGGUGGGCAGUUUGACUGGGGCGGUCGCCUCCUAAAAAGUAACGGAGGCGCUCAAAGGUUUCCUCAGCACGGUCGGAAAUCGUGCGAAGAGUGUAAAGGCAAAAGGAAGCUUGAUUGCAAGACGUACAGGUCGAACAAGGACGAAAGUCGGACUUAGUGAUCCGGUGGUACCGCAUGGAAGGGCCAUCGCUCAACGGAUAAAAGCUACCCUGGGGAUAACAGGCUUAUCUCCCCCAAGAGUCCACAUCGACGGGGAGGUUUGGCACCUCGAUGUCGGCUCAUCACAUCCUGGGGCUGUAGUAGGUCCCAAGGGUUGGGCUGUUCGCCCAUUAAAGUGGUACGCGAGCUGGGUUCAGAACGUCGUGAGACAGUUCGGUCCCUAUCCGUCGCAGGCGUAGGAAAUUUGAGAAGACCUGUCCUUAGUACGAGAGGACCGGGAUGGACGUACCUCUGGUGUACCAGUUGUUCUGCCAAGGGCAUGGCUGGGUAGCUAUGUACGGAAUGGAUAAGCGCUGAAAGCAUCUAAGCGCGAAGCCAACUUCAAGAUAAGAUUUCCCACCGUAAGGGUAAGACCCCAGGAAGACUACCUGGUUGAUAGGUCGAAGGUGUAAGUGCAGUAAUGUAUUUAGCUUAUCGAUACUAAUAGGUCGAGGACUUGACCG